GACGAACGCUGGCGGCGUGCUUAACACAUGCAAGUCGAACGGUGAAAGCGGAGCUUGCUCCGCUGGAUCAGUGGCGAACGGGUGAGUAACACGUGGGCAACCUGCCCCUCACUUCGGGAUAACUCCGGGAAACCGGGGCUAAUACCGGAUAUGACCUCCUUGGGCAUCCUUGGAGGUGGAAAGUUUUUCGGUGAGGGAUGGGCCCGCGGCCUAUCAGCUUGUUGGUGAGGUAGUGGCUCACCAAGGCGACGACGGGUAGCCGGCCUGAGAGGGGGACCGGCCACACUGGGACUGAGACACGGCCCAGACUCCUACGGGAGGCAGCAGUGGGGAAUAUUGCACAAUGGGCGCAAGCCUGAUGCAGCAACGCCGCGUGAGGGAUGAAGGCCUUCGGGUUGUAAACCUCUUUUAGCAGGGAAGAAGCGAAAGUGACGGUACCUGCAGAAAAAGCACCGGCUAACCACGUGCCAGCCGCCGCCGUAA
rnacentral:rRNA from 1 species